AACGAACGCUGGCGGCAUGCCUAACACAUGCAAGUCGAACGAGACCUUCGGGUCUAGUGGCGCACGGGUGCGUAACGCGUGGGAACCUGCCCUUAGGUUCGGAAUAACUCCCCGAAAGGGGUGCUAAUACCGGAUAAUGUCUUCGGACCAAAGAUUUAUCGCCUUUGGAUGGGCCCGCGUUGGAUUAGCUAGUUGGUAGGGUAAAAGCCUACCAAGGCGACGAUCCAUAGCUGGUCUGAGAGGAUGAUCCGCCACACUGGGACUGAGACACGGCCCCGAAUCCUACGGGAGGGAGCAGUGGGGAAUAUUGGACAAUGGGCGAAAGCCUGAUCCAGCAAUGCCGCGUGAGUGAUGAAGGCCUUAGGGUUGUAAAGCUCUUUUACACGGGAUGAUAAUGACAGUACCGGGAGAAUAAGCUCCGGCUAACUCCGUG
rnacentral:rRNA from 1 species